rnacentral:rRNA from 1 species
UGGCGGCGUGGAUAAGACUUGCAAGUCGAACGAGAGAAUUGCUAGCUUGCUAAUAAUUCUCUAGUGGCGCACGGGUGAGUAACACGUGAGUAACCUGCCCCCGAGAGCGGGAUAGCCCUGGGAAACUGGGAUUAAUACCGCAUAGUAUCGAAAGAUUAAAGCAGCAAUGCGCUUGGGGAUGGGCUCGCGGCCUAUUAGUUAGUUGGUGAGGUAACGGCUCACCAAGGCGAUGACGGGUAGCCGGUCUGAGAGGAUGUCCGGCCACACUGGAACUGAGACACGGUCCAGACACCUACGGGUGGCAGCAGUCGAGAAUCAUUCACAAUGGGGGAAACCCUGAUGGUGCGACGCCGCGUGGGGGAAUGAAGGUCUUCGGAUUGUAAACCCCUGUCAUGUGGGAGCAAAUUAAAAAGAUAGUACCACAAGAGGAAGAGACGGCUAACUCUGUGCCAGCAGCCGCGGUAAUACAGAGGUCUCAAGCGUUGUUCGGAAUCACUGGGCGUAAAGCGUGCGUAGGCUGUUUCGUAAGUCGUGUGUGAAAGGCGCGGGCUCAACCCGCGGACGGCACAUGAUACUGCGAGACUAGAGUAAUGGAGGGGGAACCGGAAUUCACGGUGUAGCA